UUCUUCUUUCCUCUCUCCUCUUCUUUUAGAUUAUCUUAGUGUAUUGUAAAAUAGAGUAUGAGAUGUUGAGUCUUGAGUGAAUUGUUAAGUAAAGAGCAUUAGUAUUAGUGGUGCUAAAAAGUUACAUUGCUAUUUUUAACACCACCAAAUACAAAUUUAUAACUACAUUGGUGGAGCCAAAGUAAAAUUAUUUGGCUCUACAGCUAUAGCCUUGUAGUGAAUAUAUUAUUUUAUUGUAGUUGAUAUAUUAUUUUAUUAUGUUAAAAACUAAAAUAAAACCACUAAUGUUGGGUAUUUUGUAAAGUGAGAGGGUAAGAUAGAUAAAGUAGCUUUUUGUGAAACUAUAUUACUAAAUUUAUAACUCCACCAAUGUGAAUGCUUAAUGUAAAACCCAAAAAAAAAUUGGCUUUUUUUUUUUUUUUUUUGAGAAUACUCUUAAAUCCUUAUUUGGUUGAGAUAGCAUUAAUGACCUGGACAUUUUUUAAAAAUUAUAAAAUUUUCAGCCUCUACCCAUGAAGGUUUUUUUUUUCCUCAUAUUUUGAAAUUAAAAACACACUUUCUUGAGUUCUCACAGCUUUGUUUCGAGCAAACACCUUACUGAAAACCUUCCUCACUAGCACACCUCUGGUUCACUGGUGACUAGUUUCAGUUGUUUGUGGCUUUGUGCUUAGAUUUGAGUACAUGAAAAUGGGAAUGUGUGUGCAUUUUGUCCUCCACUCAUGUUGAUACCUCGUGUAAGGAUGUUGUAUAAGACCACAGCAACCCUCCAUUGCUAUCUGCUAUGAUUCUUCAACACCACAUUCACUAAGAGGCUCUACAUAUAUGUAAAAUUCAACUCCUUUUACCUGAGAUGUCGAUUGUCAAACAUGAGUUCAAUGCCUUCUUCAUGUAUGAACAACAUGGCCAUACCACCUCUUGAGGACAACAGUAUGUAAUUGUCAUGCGAUUGACUGUCCAAUUGCAGAAUAGGUUAUAACGAUUUAGAGCCAUUUACAAACCUAUCUAAAACAAUGAAAAUUUACAAGUUGUUAUAA